rnacentral:rRNA from 1 species
AGCAGCCGCGGUAAUUCCAGCUCCAAUAGCGUAUAUUAAAGUUGUUGCAGUUAAAAAGCUCGUAGUUGAAUUUCGGGAUCUGUCUAUCGGUCGGGCUUUAUUGUCCGCACUGAUUUGAUGGAUUCUUACCUUCUGAAUAACCAGCAUGCCAUUAAGUUGGUGCGUUGGGGAAGCAGAGCUAUUACCUUGAAAAAAUUAGAGUGCUUAAAGCAGGCUAGUGCUUGAAUAGAUUAGCAUGGAAUAAUAAAAUAGGACGGCAUGGUUCUAUUUUGUUGGUUUCUAGGAUCACCGUAAUGAUUAAUAGGGAUAGUUGGGGGCAUUAGUAUUCAAUUGUCAGAGGUGAAAUUCUUGGAUUUAUUGAAGACUAACUACUGCGAAAGCAUUUGCCAAGGAUGUUUUCAUUAAUCAAGAACGAAAGUUAGGGGAUCGAAGACGAUCAGAUACCGUCGUAGUCUUAACCAUAAACUAUGCCGACUAGGGAUCGGACGAAGUUAAUUUUUUAAUGACUCGUUCGGCG